rnacentral:rRNA from 1 species
UACGUAGGGUGCGAGCGUUGUCCGGAAUUACUGGGCGUAAAGAGCUCGUAGGUGGUUUGUCGCGUUGUUCGUGAAAACUCACAGCUUAACUGUGGGCGUGCGGGCGAUACGGGCAGACUGGAGUACUGCAGGGGAGACUGGAAUUCCUGGUGUAGCGGUGGAAUGCGCAGAUAUCAGGAGGAACACCGGUGGCGAAGGCGGGAUCUCUGGGCAGUGAACUGACGCUGGAGGAGCGAAAGCGUGGGGAGCGAACAGGA